rnacentral:rRNA from 1 species
AUGCUCUCGGGGUCCCAGUCCUACCCGUGCGCCGGCGACGGCGGCGACCACAUGCUGCUCCGCUUCCUCAAGAACAAGGUGGACUACGCGCGGCUCCACGGGAUGGAGCUGCUCUACAACACGGCGCUGCUGCAGCCCCGGAUGGUGGCCUACUGGGCCAAGAUCCCCGUGGUGCGCGCCGCCAUGCUCGCCCACCCGGAGGCUGAGUGGGUCUGGUGGCUCGACGCCGACGCCGUCAUCACCGACAUGGACUUCGCGCCCCCGCUCGCCACCAGGUAUAAGGAUUACAGCCUCGUCGUCCACGGCUGGGACAGGGAGGGAGGUGUACGAGGCCAGGUCCUGGGUGGGCCUCAACGCCGGCGUCUUCCUCAUCCGCAACUGCCAGUGGUCGCUCGACUUCAUGGACGCAUGGGCCAGCAUGGGCCCGGCCUCGCCGGAGUACGCGCGAUGGGGCAAGACCCUCAAGGCCACGCUCAGCGACAAGCCCGACGACCAGUCCGCGCUGGCAUACCUGCUGCUCAAGAACCCCAAAAAACGGGGCGCCAGGACCUACCUGGAGCACGAGUACUACUUCCAGGGAUACUAGGCGGAGAUCGUGGACAAGCUCGACGGCGUCGCGGCGCGGCGGUUCGGGCCCGCGCUCCGGCGGCGGCACGCCGAGGGGGAGCACGCGCUGUACGCGGCGGCGAGGAACGCGGCCCUGAGGAAGAAGGCCGGCGGCGUCCCGGGGCCCGACGGGGGCGGGCAGAAGGCGUCCGCCUGGCGCCGGCCCUUCGUGACGCACUUCACCGGCUGCAACCCCUGCGGCGGCAAGCCCAACGAGAUCUACUCCAACGAGAGCUGCGCCGAGGGGAUGCGCCGCGCGCUCAACCUCGCCGACGACCAGGUGCUCCGCGCCUACGGCUUCCGCCACGCCGGGCCGCUCAAGGGCGACGUGCGCCCGCUCUAGUCUAG